CGCUGGCGGCGUGCCUAACACAUGCAAGUCGAACGGAGAGCAUAUGAAGUAUUCGGUACGGAAUGCGUUCUAGUGGCGAACGGGUGAGUAACACGUGGGCAACCUGCCCCAGACUGGGGGAUAACAUUGUGAAAACAGUGCUAAUACCGCAUGACAGGGUUCCGGGCAUCCGGGACUCUUGAAAGGAGAAAUCCGGUCAGGGAUGGGCCCGCGUCCAAUUAGCUAGUUGGUGGGGUAACGGCCCACCAAGGCGACGAUUGGUAGCCGAACUGAGAGGUUGAUCGGCCACAUUGGGACUGAGACACGGCCCAGACUCCUACGGGAGGCAGCAGUGGGGAAUAUUGGGCAAUGGGCGAAAGCCUGACCCAGCGACGCCGCGUGAAGGAUGAAGGUCUUCGGAUUGUAAACUUCUUUGAUCAGGGAAGAAAGAAAUGACGGUACCUGAAAAACAAGCCACGGCUAACUACGUGCCAGCCGCCGC
rnacentral:rRNA from 1 species